GAUGAACGCUAGCGGGAGGCCUAACACAUGCCAGCCGAGCGGUAGAGUUUCUUCGGAAACUUGAGAGCGGCGCACGGGUGCGUAACACGUGUGCAACCUACCUUUAUCUGGGGGAUAGCCUUUCGAAAGGAAGAUUAAUACCCCAUAAUAUAAUGAUUGGCAUCAAUUAUUAUUGAAAACUCCGGUGGAUAGAGAUGGGCACGCGCAAGAUUAGAUAGUUGGUGAGGUAACGGCUCACCAAGUCAAUGAUCUUUAGGGGUCCUGAGAGGGAGAUCCCCCACACUGGUACUGAGACACGGACCAGACUCCUACGGGAGGCAGCAGUGAGGAAUAUUGGACAAUGGGUGAGAGCCUGAUCCAGCCAUCCCGCGUGAAGGAUGACGGUCCUAUGGAUUGUAAACUUCUUUUGGACAGGGAUAAACCUACCCUCGUGAGGGUAGCUGAAGGUACUGUACGAAUAAGCACCGGCUAACUCCGUG
rnacentral:rRNA from 1 species